ACAAUCAAAAUCUCAAAACUGACGUUUCUGAGAAAGACAAAGUUAUAGCCAAACUGGCAUCAAAUGAAAAACAGAUCGUUACUGACCUUAAAGAAAAGGACUUGCACAUAGCCAAACUAUUGAAGGAAAGACAAGAGA